rnacentral:rRNA from 1 species
UACAGAGGGUGCUAGCGUUGUUCGGAAUCAUUGGGCGUAAAGGGCGUGUAGGCGGUUUGUUAAGUCAUGUGUGAAAGCCCCCGGCUCAACCGGGGAACGACGCAUGAAACUGGCAAGCUAGAGUACCGAAGAGGGGGGUGGAAUUCUCGGUGUAGCGGUGAAAUGCGUAGAUAUCGAGAGGAACACCUGCGGCGAAGGCGGGUUGCUGGGCCGACACUGACGCUGAUGCGCGAAAGCCAGGGGAGCGAACGGG